rnacentral:rRNA from 1 species
GCGGCGUGCUUAACACAUGCAAGUCGAACGAUGAAGCCGGAGCUUGCUCUGGUGAAUUAGUGGCGAACGGGUGAGUAACACGUGAGCAAUCUGCCCUUGACUCUGGGAUAACUGCGGGAAACUGUAGCUAAUACCGGAUACGACACCUUGGGGCAUCCCAGGGUGUGGAAAGAAUUUUGGUCAAGGAUGAGCUCGCGGCCUAUCAGCUAGUUGGUGAGGUAAUGGCUCACCAAGGCGACGACGGGUAGCCGGCCUGAGAGGGUGACCGGCCACACUGGAACUGAGACACGGUCCAGACUCCUACGGGAGGCAGCAGUGGGGAAUAUUGCACAAUGGGCGAAAGCCUGAUGCAGCAACGCCGCGUGAGGGAUGAAGGCCUUCGGGUUGUAAACCUCUUUUAGCAGGGAAGAAGCGAAAGUGACGGUACCUGCAGAAAAAGCACCGGCUAACUACGUGCCAGCAGCCGCGGUAAUACGUAGGGUGCAAGCGUUGUCCGGAAUUAUUGGGCGUAAAGAGCUCGUAGGCGGUUUGUCGCGUCUGCUGUGAAAAUCCAAGGCUCAACCUUGGACCUGCAGUGGGUACGGGCAGACUAGAGUGCGGUAGGGGAGAUGGGAAUUCCUGGUGUAGCGGUGGAAUGCGCAGAUAUCAGGAGGAACACCAAUGGCGAAGGCACAUCUCUGGGCCGUAACUGACGCUGAAGAGCGAAAGCGUGGGGA